ensembl:lncRNA
AUGCUGAUGUCCAAUAAAGCCCCGCCUGACCUCAUUGUCUGUCGUCUUCUUUUAAAGGGGGAGCCAGGUCCAAAAGGAUCAAUUGGAUUUCAAGGAUUACCUGGACUGCCUGGAGCCUUUGGUUAUCCAGGUGAAAUUGGAGAGAAAGGCAUCCCUGGAUAUCCUGGAGGAAGAGUAAGACCCUUCAUCAUCAUCCCCACACUUAGAGCUUGCCUUUUCUGUAAUGUUUCUUAUCGUCAUCCAAACAGGGUUCUCCAGGUUUUAAUGGACCUCAGGGUGCUCCAGGAUUACCGGGACAGAGAGGAGACACAGGUUUCUCCGGCAGGCCAGGUUACGACGGGCCAAAGGUGAGCCCCCGGUCUCCAUAUCUGUAUCCUUUUCUUUAAAUUUAAAGAAUGACAUUUUUUAAACAUCUCCAUCAAUGUAUCUCGUUAGUCACAUUAGAGACUCUUCUGUUCUGCUUCUUUGAACUCCAUCACCAUUAAAAGAUUCUCUGAGACCUUCUGAACAAAAUUCCAGACUUCAGUUUCAUCAGAGUUCAUCAAAAAAAAAUUCCAAAGUUCUUCUCAUAAAAAAUAAUACAUUAUCUGCCAAGAAAAACUCUUGAUCAUGUUAAAGCUGAGGAAGAGUUAGGGAAGAGCAGAGAAGGUCCAAGAACUGAAGUUUUAUUCCAUUUGUGAUUUUAUUUCAUUUUUUUUCCUCAAAUAAGUUUUAAAAAGACUUUAAUCUGAAAUACAGUAAAAGAUUUAACACAGUUUCGUGAAAAAUGAAAAAACAAUUUUUUGGUUUGUCUUUAAAACCUGCUUAAUUAAGGUCACAACUGCUGGUGCUAUAGAAACCUUGCAACACCCUGGUGUGUUUUUUUAAAUCUUCUUCUGGUUCUGUGUUCCUCCCAGGGUGACCCAGGAGACCGAGGUCCUCGAGGUCCUCCUAUUUAUGUCAGUAAUACUGGCAGAUCUGCUCAAGGUGAAACCCAAACACACUUACUGUUGAGCUCUUAGGUUCAGGAUUAACCACAAUGCCGUUCCUGCAGGUCCUUCAGGAGAUCCUGGUUACAGCGGUGCUCCUGGCGCUCCCGGAGACCUAGGACCCACAGGUUUCCCAGGACUUCCAGGUGAACCUGGACGUCUUCUGCCCGGUUCAGGUAAAGGAAAAACAAAAAGCCAUCCUCAGUUAACUGGGUCGGGAUCUGUGUGGACUGUUUGGCUUUAAACUAUCGCUUUGUGCCAUAUUCCAGAAACAUCAGGACUUCCAGGUCUACCCGGACUACCUGGCCCGGAAGGAGAGAAGGGAAACCCAGGUCCAUUGGUUAAUGGUCCUGAAGGAUUCCCAGGUCUGCCUGGACCCCCUGGGCCCCCUGGAGGUCCUGGCCCCCCGGGUCCUCCUGGUAAGUGUGUUGGAGCUCUUUGGAAGCGUCUGUUCAUUCUGUUGCAGGAGUGAGAGUAUUUUUGUUGUGGAACAGUCGCUCUGAUCCCGCUCAUCCUUCACAGGGAAUUCCUUCUGCUUAAAAUGGCAGUAGUGUCUAAAUCAGUUGCAGUGUGAAAGUGAUCCUUUGGUCUGGAGUAAAGACCAGAUCUUGGCUAAAAAAAAAAAACCUGGCGUAAAACACAACAGCUGUCUGACUUUGCUGUCCUCCAAGGCAGGCCCUCUGAUCCCUGUGUCAUCUAUCCUGUCAGUCCCAAAGGUCAGUUUACAGCUAUCCUAAAGGCAGCCAUAUUCCUGCAAUCACCAUGGCAACAUCAAGCCUCUUAAAGCCAGAUUAAACCGCAUCUUUCGCUUUUUUUUGUUUUUGCUCUCUGCUGCCCUUUGCAGCAACUAACGGUAAGUGGAGAGUGCAGACUGCACCUUCCAUAGGAGGGAGUCUCUGUACGCCAGGCUGCUGCUCGCUCUUUGGCCACAGGGGUCGCCUGCUGUCAACAGUUAUAAAUGAUUUUACAUGGACAAAAUACUUUUUUUGUAUUUAUUUAUUACGUUUAUACACAGAUUAAACAAAGAAAGAUUCUUCGGACACAAGAAAAAUUGGGUACCAUUUGUAAGUGUAAGUGGUAUUUUUUGGUUGAGUAAUUGGCAAACCAACAUCAGCCAGAAAGAAGGCAUAACUACAACAAAAGAGACCAAAAUCUGUCUGUCUCUAAGGUCCAUGUGAAAUCACUGAAGCAGUUCUGCUGUUUUACUUUUUAAUAUGAGGCUGUCAUGUGAAGAAGAAAGUGCACAUGUUGAUGUUGGGAUGAAGGUGUCUGUCUGUGCAGCAUGUGGAACUAAAGAUGUUGAAAAUGACAUUUAAGCCUGCACACGUGGACAGGUGAUUAAAAAAACACCUUUAAAGCACAGUGGUGCAAGUAUUAUCAUCAGGGCUCCUCCAUGUUAGUAAAAAGCAUUAAAAAACAUCCAUCCACUCAUUUGGAGCAAGUCAUAGGAGAAGCAGUUUAAGCAGAGAACCCCUGGCCUCCGUCUACAGAUAAACGUUCUCCAGUUCUGCCAAGGGGACCCAAAAGUGCUCCACGGACCCCGGACCCAACAUUACCAGAAUACCCUCUUCAGAACACAGCAAGGGACUAGAUAGAACAGAUUCUGUAAAAGCCCAAGUGGACUGCUGGGCAUCUGCCGUGAGCCCUUGAACCCUCUGAGUCAGGUGUAGAGGUGGUCUCUGGUUCUAGUACUGCAUUCACGCGGAACGAUUUGUGUGUCAAUUUCACGUCUGCUGCCUCUCUUGUAAUGUAUCUGUAAAACACAUGUGAGCUUACUGCUUUUCUGUUUGCAAAAUAAUUUCACAGCAUGAAAUAUGUGAAUAAAUACUGUUUCAUCCUCUUUGGUGUUCUGUGUCUUUAUUGUGUCCUGGUGCAUCAAAGCCUGAGAGAGGGGGGGGGGUGCAAUUUCUUUUUCACAUGACUGCGUUCCCAUUCCAGUGCCUCUCCCUGUCAGCCUCUCAUCUUCCAGCAGCAGCUCCAGUCUAAUGGAAAAUUAAACAAACUAACCUCAAUUACUUUGCUGAUUUUCAAACACAACAGCUGUCAGCGUAGGACUGACUGUGCAUGUGUGUGUGUGUGUGUGUGUGUGUGCGUGUGUGCGUGUGUGUAGGCUCUCCUGAGGAUGUGACCUCCGGUCUACCCGGAUUACCCGGGCAGCCUGGCCCCAGAGGACCUCCUGGAAACCGAGGCUUCAAAGGCUUCGGAGGUAUGGGCUUCAGGAAGUGAUGUCAAAGUAGUUUGCUCUCUGAUUGUUUGUGGAAAAAGGGUUUUACUGCCACUGUUUCUGGUUUCUGACUCUUAGAGCCUGGUUUACUCAGAUCCCCUAUCAAAGAUGUGAGCACACAGAAAGGCUGUUACAUUGUCUGUUUGGGAUUUACCUUUGAUCCAUCCAGUGUGGAUGCACAAUUUGAAUGAAAACUGUGUUUUUAACACGUUCUAGUGUCAUUUUUCUGAUGAUGGGGGACAUAUUCAAAGAAAAUUCAGCUUAAAACUGCAUUUCUGAGCAUUUCUUAAAAUUGUGGUAAAUAAGGACCAGAUGACGAAAUGCUGUUUGAUAAACAUUACAGAUGUGAUGUAGAAACUACACUGGGCGGGUCACAAGCUCCCUGCUCUGCUUCACAUGUGGACGACUAAAUCAAUGAACGUCUGUGUUUUCCUCAUCUGAGCUGGCUUACAACUGUAUGGCUGGAUAGCUCCAAUAUUGCUCACCAUUUUGGUUGCAUCGGUUAUGUUAGGUUGGGAGGGACUGGAAGGUAGGAGAUUGUGUAAACAGAUAACUCAGUUAUGAUGAAAAGGGGGCGGAGUUUCUUUGCAUCAACAGUCCCAGAACUCAGAGGUGAAUUUCUAAUGAACUCCUGGUUCUGCCGCUCUGUAGAAACUAUGUCCUAGAAAAACGACACAGUUUUCGUUUUUUAUUUUGGCUAAAAACGGCAAAAUCAUAACUAAAAGACCACUGGGUUUUUUAUUUAUGAUUAAAAGAUCCAGAUAGAUUAAAAGAUUACCUUAAGGAAAGGUUUUCGAUGUUAGCCAAUUGUGUAGCUUUUGAAGUGUAAAAAUAUAUUCAGCUUAAUUGAGAUUUCUGCAAACAGUUUUAUUUGUCAUAUUUUACUGUCUCUUCUAUACACUUCUGUUUUAC